AUACGUAGGCAGCGAGCGUUGUUCGGAGUUACUGGGCGUAAAGGGUGUGUAGGCGGUUCUCUAAGUUUGGUGUGAAAUCUCCCGGCUCAACCGGGAGGGUGCGCCGAAAACUGGAGGGCUAGAGUGCGGGAAGGGAGAGUAGAAUUCCUGGUGUAGCGGUGAAAUGCGUAGAUAUCAGGAGGAAUACCGGUGGUGCAGACGGCUCUCUGGACCGCGACUGACGCUGAGACACGAAAGCGUGGGUAGCAAACAGGA
rnacentral:rRNA from 1 species